rnacentral:tRNA from 1 species
GCGCUCGUAGCUCAACUGGCAGAGCGUCGGCUUGCGGAGCCGAAGGUUGUAGGUUCAAGUCCUACCGGGCGUG